CUAUGUGUUGUUGGGUAGGGGAGCGUUCUGUAAGCCUGUGAAGGUGGCCUGUGAGGGUUGCUGGAGGUAUCAGAAGUGCGAAUGCUGACAUAAGUAACGAUAAAGCGGGUGAAAAGCCCGCUCGCCGGAAGACCAAGGGUUCCUGUCCAACGUUAAUCGGGGCAGGGUGAGUCGACCCCUAAGGCGAGGCCGAAAGGCGUAGUCGAUGGGAAACAGGUUAAUAUUCCUGUACUUGGUGUUACUGCGAAGGGGGGACGGAGAAGGCUAUGUUGGCCGGGCGACGGUUGUCCCGGUUUAAGCGUGUAGGCUGGUUUUCCAGGCAAAUCCGGAAAAUCAAGGCUGAGGCGUGAUGACGAGGCACUACGGUGCUGAAGCAACAAAUGCCCUGCUUCCAGGAAAAGCCUCUAAGCAUCAGGUAACAUCAAAUCGUACCCCAAACCGACACAGGUGGUCAGGUAGAGAAUACCAAGGCGCUUGAGAGAACUCGGGUGAAGGAACUAGGCAAAAUGGUGCCGUAACUUCGGGAGAAGG
rnacentral:rRNA from 1 species